UAAGUGGGCUUGAUUGUGGUGAAAACUCCACAGUUAAGCGCGAUUGAGCCAGAGGCGUCUAGGGAUGGGUGACCACCUGGGAAGUCCUGGUUACCGAGUGCA
rnacentral:rRNA from 1 species